AUUAUUAUUUAGCUCACAAGAAGCAGAAACAUGUUAAAGGGUACGAUGCUGACAGAGUGACUCGAGCACACCUCCUCUGGGAUCUACUUUUAACAAGAAAUAAGCAUAAAAGAAACUCGAUACCUCGUCCUGUGUACAAGCGCAAAAGCAUGGAAGUUCACGAAGUGCCUCUUAAACUUGGACUCUGCACGGAUCAGCACCCACUGUGUAGUUCUUAUGCAUUAAAUGGAUUUUGUGACUGGCCUGGAAUCUUUCAAAACCUCAACAACAUUCAUAAGACGUGUGCAUUUUCAUGUGGAUACUGUAAGAAGAACAUACCAGAUGGAGUGGUAGACCUUGUCGGAGCCAGUUGGAGUUCACCAUGAACUUUGAUAGGAAUUAUUCUCUAUCCAUGCCUGGGUUUCAGCAUACAGGCCUUCAGCUUAAACAUGCAAAUCACUAUUGAAAACGGUUCUAUAAACAGCACUGGUUUGUUGUGUGUUUUGUAAGUUUGAAAGCUUGCAACUUGAAACGGGUAAUAAAAAUAUCUACAUAUAUAACCUUCAGACCUCAGCAGAAUGGUUCUGAUCAUACCCAAAUCGGACGUUGUUCCAACUAGGGACAUAGAUCAAAAGUCCAGCCAAUGGAGCAUUGACGUCUACGGUUUGAACGGCGAAACCAAAUUGAAACUGGUUUUGACUGUAGAGAGGCUCUCUCAUUUGCCUUUCAAGUAGAAAUUGACUCGGUCUUUAGAAGAAACAGCACUGUUUAUUAACAAAAAAAAAAAUAAUUUUUAAGGGAGGGGGCGGGAUGGUGAGACAGGAAAGAAAGCUUAGCUGAAUACAGAAUUAUUAUUAUUAUUUUCAAUUUAUUUAUAAAUAUUACUUCCUCGGGCCCCACAGCCGAUCACGCAAGCGCACUGUUAGUAAAGAUCAUCUUAACACUUGGACGUACAAGGGGGAGAAAAGUGGGGGUGGACACCA